AGGGUUUGAUUAUGGCUCAGAACGUACGCUGGCGGCACGCCUAACACAUGCAAGUCGAACGCAGUAGCAAUACUGAGUGGCAAACGGGUGAGUAUAAUGUGGGAAUCUGCCUUUUGGUUUGGAAUAACACGGGGAAACUUGUGCUAAUACCAAAUAAGCCCUUACGGGGAAAGUUUUAAUGCCAAAAGAUGAGCCCGCACUUGAUUAGCUAGUUGGUAAGGUAAAAGCUUACCAAGGCAAUGAUCAAUAGCUGUUCUUAGAGGAAGACCAGCCACAUUGGGACUGAGACACGGCCCAGACUCCUACGGGAGGCAGCAGUGGGGAAUCUUGCACAAUGGGGGAAACCCUGAUGCAGCGAUGCCGCGUGAGUGAAGAAGGCCUUUGGGUUGUAAAACUCUUUCGUCGGGGAAGAAAAUGACUGUACCCGAAUAAGAAGGUCCGGCUAACUUCGUGCCAGCCGCCGCGGUAAUAC
rnacentral:rRNA from 1 species